CGAACCGUGCGAACGUUGUUCGGAAUCACUGGGCAUAAAGGGCGCGUAGGCGGCUUAUCAAGUCAGGGGUGAAAUCCGGCAGCUCAACUGUCGAAGUGCCUUUGAUACUGAUGAGCUCGAGGGAGGUAGGGGUCUGUGGAACUUCCGGUGGAGCGGUGAAAUGCGUUGAUAUCGGAAGGAACGCCGGUGGCGAAAGCGACGGACUGGACCUCUUCUGACGCUGAGGCGCGAAAGCCAGGGGAGCAAACGGGAUUAGAUACCCCGGUAGUCCUGGCCCUAAACGAUGGGUACUAGAUAGUGGACUUAACAUGGGUUCACUGUCGAAGCUAAUGUGUUAAGUACCCCGCCUGGGGAGUAUGGUCGCAAGGCUG
rnacentral:rRNA from 1 species